UGCAGCUGAUGUGUGCUUUUUGGCUCCGUCAGAAAUAAUUAACUUGUGUCCGAGGAAAUUAAUUUGGCUAAUAAUUAAUGGAAUAAUUAGUCAACUUUGGCAAGCAAACUAUUCAUUAGGCGAGGUGCUAGCUAGGUAGCCAGAGGGGGAAAGGUCAACGAAGAUGGCUGUACGCCGCAGGCAGCAUUUUAAGAGCCGCCGGAAGAAUCUAAUGGCCGAUAAAUAUGAUUUAUUUCCAUUCCUGCUACAUACAGUCAAUGGAAAAAGUAUAGGCAACACCAGCGAGAGCUACAUAAAAUUGUUUAACUUUGAACGCACUUAGAAAAUUUAAUGUAGUAUUCGAUUAUAAUCACGUUUCCGACCUAAAUCAAAGAGUCGCAACCUAAUUCUAAUUUUGACCCAAAUGCAUCAGGUACGAACCUGCAAAAAGUAUUGGCAACAUUUGGUUCAAUUAAGUGUGCGAAAUUAUUACGCUAACCAUCCUCAACAUUUCGUGGUGGUAAGUUAAUUAGACAACAAAAUAUGAGUUUAAUUGCUUCAGAAGUCUAGAUUAGUGUUGUUUAGGGCCAAAAUGGUGACCCAAAACGGUUGUGUCUGGCGGCGCGAGAAAUCAGCAUGUCUACUUUAGUAAAAUGCUUCGAUAUUGAAACAUCAAGCAGAAAGCAUGCUUCUCGAUAUGCACUAUUCAAAAGAUAUCUAAGAAAUAAAAAACGAGAAUCCUAGUUGCUAGUUUUCAACGAAUCGGAUAACAAAAGUUACCAACGCCUAAAAUCGAUAUGUAAAUUAGUCAAGAAUUUCGUCAACGUAGGAGGAUUUCAGCUCCUAAAAUCAACUGGAAUUUGAGAACCAACUAUGGAGUCAACAAAUCAGACAAUGCGAUGAACAGUCGAAUUCAUGCCAUGGAGUUUAAAGGUCGAGUAGCCCAAAGGACGCGUGGGCCCCCAAACUGAAUCUACUCAGGAAAUUGGAAUGGUCUAUAUCCCACUCCACAAACUUUUAGUGAAUAAACAAGGGUCUUCACGUCUUACCGAAGCAUAUUUUACUUAUUCAGAUCGGAUUGGCUGGUUAAAAUGUGGUGGAUGAAUAGUUAGACUCAAAAAAACGAAUGCCUUCAUCCGACAAUCAAACACUGAGACGGAUCGACUAUGGUUUGGGGUCAAAUGUCUUCGUCGGGGUGCCGCAAACUGGUCACUAUUGUCUAAAUCAUGAUCAACUAGGUAUAUUUAAGACUUCCAAAAGAUAAUUUGAAAUACUCUGCAAAACAGACUGAACGAAAUAGAAAUUUCCAAAUCCCACAAUGUUGUUACGCCAAGCUUUUAGCCAAAUUAACGAAGAAAUUUUUGGACACCGAAGAGGUUAAGCUUCUCCCGUUACUUACACAGUCUCCUGACAUGAAUCCUGUUGUUUCGGUUGAGAAAGGAGUGUCUGGCACUGUCUUGUAAAAAACCAUUAGUCAAGAACCUACCUGAUCCAAGUUUUGUAAGACGAGUGGGAAAUCAUGUCGGAGAGAAAUUUGUGGAGUCAAUUCCAGGGCAUGUUUCUGCUCCUAUUGCAUCGAGGGGAGUUGAUAAGUGGUUCUAGAUGCAGUUUGUCGAAACCAAAUAAGAGAUUCUUUGUUUUACGCUUUUUUAAUUAAAAGGUGCCAAUACUUUUUGUGGGUUAAUUUUGUAAGUUUUCCAACAAAUUAUUGAAAAAAUCUGUUCAUGAAAAUUAAAUCCAUAAAACAUGAUUAUAAUCGAACACUAUAUUAAAUUUGCCAAGUGCGUGCAAAGUCUUAUGUGAAUAUGGUAAUGCAUGCCAAAGUUGCCUAUACUUUUUCCAUUGACUGUACAUCGGGGCGCCACUCGCCGAAGCAUUUACCCAAAGUGACGAUGCUGGUCGGCGUUGACAACAAAGAGGGUGUUUAGGACAUACAUAUACUACUACUACCAACACCCCCACCCAGAUAUGUCAGCCACACCCUCACAAAAUGGUAAAAAGAUCUCUACAUUUGAACAUCAUUGAAAAUCUUCCAAUUUACUCCCAGUUUGAAGUACUAGUAUCCAAUAUAGGUCUUUGUUUUAUCAUAACCAUAUUAUUGUUAAGAAACAUUCAAAAGUUAUCAGAAUUAACGUUAAUAUUAGACAGUGGAUAAAAGAACUCAAAUUCACAAUAAUUAUUAGAUUCGUUUAUAAUAAAACGACUUUUCAAGCUCCGAGAAAAUGAAAUUACUCAAAAUUUAUGUUUACAAAGAGACUAAUUGUAAGUCGAUAAGGAGGAUCCACUCAUUUUCAGAAUGUAAUUACUUUUAAAUAGGGUAACAUAUUUUUAAGAGCGGUGAGAAAUUUUUUUACAAAGAAAAGUGUGUGCACAAAAUACAAACUUUUAAUAAGGGCUACCAAAUAAAUUAAGCCUCACAUCAAAACAAGAUCCGGUUGGAAAUAAAUAGGUGCACACAUUUGUCCAUACAUUCUUAAAAAUAACAUUCGUAAAAAUACACUGAAAAAAUGAUUGGGAAAAAACCCUUUGGAAAAGUAGAUUCGCAAUUAAUUUCAUACUACGUAAUCUAUAUUUAACCCGGGGUACUCUUUAUUAAAUUAACGCCACUCUGGAUUUAGUAUUAUUUAUCCAAUCUGAAAUUCAGACUGCAUUAACUUCUCGAAAGGUAACAUUAUCUUACAAAUACAAAAUUACGAUACAAUAAAGACAUGCCCAAA